rnacentral:tRNA from 7 species
GCCGCCAUGGUGAAAUCGGUAGACAC